UUGCUCACUUCAGCAGCACAUAUACUAAAAUUGGAACAGUGCAGAGAAGAUUAGCAUGGCCCCUGUGCAAGGAUGAUAUGCAAAUUUAUGAAGUGAUCCAUAUAAAA
ensembl:snRNA U6 U6 spliceosomal RNA